AAACAAGCUACACUUGAUACAUCGGAGCAAGAUUUCUGGUAAAAGAGUUUGCACAACAAAUUGGGGACUAUUUUUCGAUUAAAAUAGUCCAAGCGAACGAUAGCUGGGUCUCUAGGUACACCUCAAAUGUGUUUGUUUUUUCCUAUUAAGGUAAAAGGGAAAAAUAAGUGUAAAUAAUUUUUUCGAAACACGGGUUUAAACUCACAAACCCCAGGAUGACACUUGGUAUAGUUCCAUUCAAGUGACAAUAUUUAGUUAUUUAACUUAACGUAUAAUGUCCACAUAAUAUGAAGAAGUGGUGCCGCGCGUAUAUAGCUGAGCAAGAUUUCUAGUAGAACUAUUGUACACAGGAUA